CAGGCCAGAUGUUUUGUCCUGCUACGUUAAGUCAUCUUGACAUACUGCCAUGAAAUGGAAACAACUGCUAGUUUUAACAUUGUUCCAUAUCUUUAUUAAAAGAGUCAUCAAUCUCAUGAGAGUCAUCUUGCCAUCUGUACCAGCAUUGCUCCAGGCUUCCAUAUGAAAGUCCAAUCUGGCGGUAUAAAUACUGGAUAAUGAAGAAGUCUUUACUCUGCACACCACUGCUGACCCCAGAUAUGACCCACAGGAACUACUGGCGAAAGGAGCAAAAAGGGGAAAAGAAUUAUCUUCUUGGUGGUCUUGUGUCCUCUGUGCUGGAUCUGCAGUUGUUUUCCACCUGUAAACUUGUUGGUCAAGCUUUUCGGCAUUUAUUCAAAUAAAAUUCUUAGGCACUCAG